GGCGGACGGGUGAGUAACGCGUAAGGAACUUGCCUCUUGGACUGGGACAACUGUUGGAAACGACAGCUAAUACCGGAUAUUAUGAGAUUCUCGCAUGAGAAACUUAUGAAAGCUAUAUGCGCCAAGAGAGAGCCUUGCGUUCCAUUAGCUAGUUGGUGGGGUAACGGCCCACCAAGGCGACGAUGGAUAGCCGGCCUGAGAGGGUGAACGGCCACAAGGGGACUGAGACACGGCCCUUACUCCUACGGGAGGCAGCAGUGGGGAAUAUUGGACAAUGGGCCACAAGCCUGAUCCAGCAAUUCUGUGUGCACGAUGAAGGUCUUCGGAUUGUAAAGUGCUUUCAGUUGGGAAGAAGAAAGUGACGGUACCAACAGAAGAAGCGACGGCUAAAUACGUGCCAGUAGCCGCGGUAAUACGUAUGUCGCAAGCGUUAUCCGGAUUUAUUGGGCGUAAAGCGCGUCUAGGCGGAAAAAUAAGUCUGAUGUUAAAAUGCGGGGCUCAACUCCGUAUUGCGUUGGAAACUGUUUUUCUAGAGUACUGGAGAGGUGGGCGGAACUACAAGUGUAGAGGUGAAAUUCGUAGAUAUUUGUAGGAAUGCCGAUGG
rnacentral:rRNA from 1 species